rnacentral:rRNA from 1 species
UACGUAGGGGGCAAGCGUUGUCCGGAAUCAUUGGGCGUAAAGCGCGUGUAGGCGGCUCGAUAAGUCUGCUGUGAAAGUCCAGGGCUCAACCCUGGGAUGCCGGUGGAUACUGUCGAGCUCGAGUCCGGAAGAGGCGAGUGGAAUUCCUGGUGUAGCGGUGAAAUGCGCAGAUAUCAGGAGGAACACCAAUGGCGAAGGCAGCUCGCUGGGACGUGGACUGACGCUGAGACGCGAAAGCGUGGGGAGCAAACAGG